rnacentral:lncRNA from 1 species
UCACGCACGCCCGCUAUAGGAGCAUGUAAUUAAAAUGCCAGAAGAAGGGAAAGCGCAACUUACCUGGUGCUGGAAGUGGCGAUCCGGAUUUUUCAGUCUUUCUUGGUCGUCUAUCCUUGCCUCAAGAUCCCUGCGUUCGUUCGUUCCCCUUCUGUCGGUGUUCCCUUCUGUCAGCUGCUCGUUCCUCUCCUUUUUUUUUUAGCCUUUUCCUCUGGUUUUGGAAGCUGGUGUUGGAGAAGAGGCGGUCAGUGGGUUUCUUGUUUCACUGUCCUCCUCUCUACGUCCCUUUUCCUUGUUUUGCUGUGUUAUUCCUUGUUUCUCUGGUUUUUUUUUUUUGUCCCCUCUCUGUUUUCGUUUGUGCUCUCUGUUUACUUCUUUCGUGUUCUCCCCCUCAGUUUUUUUCGUUCUCAGUCGCUCUCUAUCUCUCCUGCCGGUUCCCCCUGGCUUUUUCGUGCUCCUCGGUUCUACUCUUGUUUUUCUUUCCCUCGUUUCUGCCCUUUUUCCCUAGUUUUUCUUCCCCCUGUUCGUGGCUUUUUCUUUAGCCUCCUCUGUUUCUUUGAGAAGAAACAGAGGAAUGCAAGUCUGCUCUUCUUCUUCCUUUUCCCCCCCUCGGUUCUGUCUCUCUCUCUCGGUGUGUUUCUGUUUUCGUUGUUUUAAGGCCGGUAUUGGUAAGGGAAGGGUUCACUUCUGGUAUGGGGUUCUAAAACAACACUUAAAAAUUCGGCUGGUAUCUUUAGGUUUCUCUCUUUUGGUUUCGUUCGUCCCCUCUCUCUCCAACCAACCUUUGCUCUCGGUGCUGCUCGGUUUAUAUAGGGCUCGACGGGUGGUAACGGGCGGUAGGCUAACGGUCGGCCACCAUUAAGGCGCCCAUAACUGAAGCCAACGGACGACGAUUACUGCUGCAACGUUCUUCCCUCCAUUACUGCAGAAACGGUCACUGGCUUAAAGGAGAAGAAGAUGAACAGCAUCCUCAAAACGACGCCGUUUGGAGAUAAACAGGCCAUUUUCACUUUGACCCAUGAAGUUUUGAAAAUUUUAUAAUUAAACCC